rnacentral:tRNA from 2 species
GGCCAGGCCAGGCGGCAAGGCAAGAGUCUGUAAAACUCUCACCAUGGGUUCAAAUCCCAUCGUCGCCU